GACGAACGCUGGCGGCGUGCUUAACACAUGCAAGUCGAACGGAAAGGCCCUGCUUUUGUGGGGUGCUCGAGUGGCGAACGGGUGAGUAACACGUGAGUAACCUGCCCUUGACUUUGGGAUAACUUCAGGAAACUGGGGCUAAUACCGGAUAGGAGCUCCUGCUGCAUGGUGGGGGUUGGAAAGUUUCGGCGGUUGGGGAUGGACUCGCGGCUUAUCAGCUUGUUGGUGGGGUAGUGGCUUACCAAGGCUUUGACGGGUAGCCGGCCUGAGAGGGUGACCGGCCACAUUGGGACUAAGAGACGGCCCAGACGCCUACGGGAGGCAACAGUGGGAAAUAUUGCACAAUGGGCGGAAGCCUGAUACAGCGACGCCGCGUGCGGAAUGACGGCCUUCGGGUUGUAAACCGCUUUCGCCUGUGACGAAGCGUGAGUGACGGUAAUUGGUAAAGAAGCACCGGCUAACUACGUG
rnacentral:rRNA from 1 species